GUUGAGUUUUAAUUUGAGAGUCCUCAUUUUUAGCUUUAAUUUUUAGUUUAUGUAUGAUUAUUUAUUUAAAUUUUAAAAAUUUAAAUUUAAAUUUUUUUUUUUAAAAAAAUAAAUAAAUACUUAAUUUAUGUUAGAGUAUUAUUUGACCUACAAUUUUAUUUAAAUAGUUAUAUUUUAUAAAUAAAAUAUAUAAAUUGGAAAAAAAAGUAAAUUAAUUUUGAUAUUUAUUUGAAUUUUUUUUAGUUUCGGUACAAA
rnacentral:rRNA from 1 species